rnacentral:rRNA from 1 species
UAACCAUGCAGUCGACGGCAGCACAGGAGAGCUUGCUCUCUGGGUGGCGAGUGGCGGACGGGUGAGGAAUACAUCGGAAUCUACUCUGUCGUGGGGGAUAACGUAGGGAAACUUACGCUAAUACCGCAUACGACCUACGGGUGAAAGCAGGGGACCUUCGGGCCUUGCGCGAUUGAAUGAGCCGAUGUCGGAUUAGCUAGUUGGCGGGGUAAAGGCCCACCAAGGCGACGAUCCGUAGCUGGUCUGAGAGGAUGAUCAGCCACACUGGAACUGAGACACGGUCCAGACUCCUACGGGAGGCAGCAGUGGGGAAUAUUGGACAAUGGGCGCAAGCCUGAUCCAGCCAUACCGCGUGGGUGAAGAAGGCCUUCGGGUUGUAAAGCCCUUUUGUUGGGAAAGAAAU